rnacentral:lncRNA from 1 species
UUUUGCUCCUGUUGAUGUAUUUAGGCCUAUGAAAAUACUAAGAAAUAGUGCUGUUUUAACUAUUUUUAUGUUUCAAAGGAGGAAACUGAAGGGGGCUGAGAGAACUCACUGGCUGCUCACAGCGUGUAAAAUGCAGAACUAGUAUCAGAGGCUGGGUGCUAGACAUUACCCUUUCAGCCCCUCUCCUCUCAGAGACUGCUGCCCGCUCACCUGUGCAUGCCGAGAACUGGAAUCCUGGGGGGUAGGAAGCAGAGUUGACUUGUCCAGUGCCCAGAUACUGCCUGGCCCCCAUUAGGGGCUCAAUAAUGCUCUUUGAAUCACUUUAUUCAUUGUUGAAUGCCCCUUCCCUAAUCAGUUUUCCCUCUUCUUCCCCAUAGACAAAAGUGCUUUAAAGUUAUCUACAGAAAAAUGGAAUUAAAAGAUGUUUAUUUUGGUGUAAAAAGAAAAAGUCAAAUCCGGUUAUUUCAUAAUGCAUUUUUUAAGACCCUUUGUAUGCAUGAAUUUCAAAGUACUUUUGCACCAAAAUAAACUUAGCUCUUCAUUCUAUUUUCCAGGAACUUUUUGAAGCAACGUCCUUCCCGUCUCCUUCCCCGUAUCUUUGCAAGCUUUCCCCCAGGCUUUGCAAAAAGUGCACAAACAUGUGGCUUCCCAAGGUGCUCUGAUUUGGGAAGGCGCACUUUCCCACAGGGCCAAGACCGGUCAAGGAGGUACUGCUGGAUUCAUACAUCUGCUACAAAGUGCUUCUAAUUCUGUCGUUCAGCUGUCCGGCACGUAGGCAACUUCCUUUUAGAAGUUGGUGGUUGUCACUAACCAGGUGCUGAUUUGCGGAAAUGCAACCGAGUCCCCAGCGCUGGCGCGCGCGCGCGGGAGAGGUGGUUGAGAACGGACGCCCCAGCCCCCUCUAACUUGUUGCCCUCUGCUUCCCCAGGCCGCCCCGGGCAAGACCCCUUGCAGCUGUCCUACCCCUCCCUGCAGCCACUGCACACGUCAGCGGGCCUCAAAGAAGGAAAACACAUCAGGGCUACGUAGAGAAACACGUUCCUGCUCAAAAGGACAGCAGGUGCAGCCCUUCGGCUGGCAAGCACGGCCCUCUUCAAGUGCUCACCCUUCAUUUCCACUGGUUCCCCACAAGACCCUCCCUUGUUGGCGAGCUUCUCUCCAGGCUACAGGCAAAUUCAGACUGUGGACUUGGAUUUUCUUCGGCUGAGAAUCCACGACCUCCUGUGAUGGGUGUGUUUCAAGAUAAUUCUUCAGAAACUUGAUAAAAUAUGCUCAAUAAAGAAAAUGACACAAACA